UUGAAGAGAGGAAAUCCUUAUUAAGAAAAUGUUGAACAUCAAUAUACCGCUAUCAUAGGUCAUUAACAUGUGUUAAGCAUUAGAUUCUAUCAUUCAACACCUACCUUGGGUUUUAGGAAAUCAUCUACAGGUGAGCUGAAACCUAAACUUCCGAUUAAAAAAUUGACAAAUCUCAAUUCCUAGAUGAUAGAAGGGUAUGUUCUUGAUUGUGACGACGAAAGGGCAUAAUGAAAAGCCUUCAGUGUAUAUGAGUUGUGCUAACACUACAGAUUUUGCCUUACUUAAGAUGUCCUUCUUCUUACUUUAUCCAGUAAUAGCCUCAUGCAGUCUAGAAUAUAUUGUUGCGCCUGGCUGGACCUGGAUCUGGACUUCUAGACUUACUCUGAACUAUUAAAACUGUAUGCACUUGUAAGGUGUGUGUCUGGCAUAAUUUAUUUGAAUACCUUCAAAACUUCUGAAAACAUCAAUGAAAGCUACAAGCUUCACCAGCUAUUUUUCCAGCAGUAAUGACGUCCAUUGCUUUCGUUUCAAAUCAUCAAAAAGAUUAUCUUUAGCAAAAAAUAUCACUUUAGAUUUACGACUAAAUGCUUUGUAAAGCAUGACAUGAUUAUUUGUAAAUAAGGAGAAAAAAAUAUAGUGUGUCUUCUUUUGCUUUAAAGUUGGCAUAACGACUUAAAAUGAAUACUUCCAGUUUUACGGAUAGAUGGCGUGAGGAUGCAUUCAAAGGAAUUUUAUCUGAAGGGUUAAGCGACUUGAAUUUACUGCAUUUGCUGCGUCUAGCCUCGCCAAUAACUUAAAUAUAAAAGCAAAAGAGGCUUAUUUCGGGGUGAAGCUACCAUUUUCCUCCAGUGACGUCUCGCCUGGGUUGAAAGUGAAAUCAAUGCCUGGAACAUGUAUUUGAUGAAAAACUUCAAAUUUCAAGUGCUGUUGGAGGAAGGUGGUUGACAUGCGUACUUAAAUCACUCGCUGUAUUCUUGAAAUCAGAAAACUAAUUGAUUAAUUGCAACAAGAAAGUAGAAUGUGUUUUGGGUACCAUGCAUGUUCCAGUAAUCAUUAUGUUUAUGGCCAUUGGUCUUAUCCGGAAACUGAAAUAAAUUAACAUUGAAGAUGAUAACGGCAAACACAUGAAUGUCUGAUUACUUAUAAUUAGAUCAUUAAAUCGUGCUUCAUCGUAAAAUAACUAUAAAACUAAUGUGAUAACAACAGCAAAAUUACGUUUUCAACGAUGUUAUUUUAUGUACAUGAAUGCAUGUACACAUCUUUAUAAUAGAAUUGUUAUGACUACAAAA